rnacentral:rRNA from 1 species
AACGAACGCUGGCGGCAUGCCUAACACAUGCAAGUCGAACGAUGCUUUCGGGCAUAGUGGCGCACGGGUGCGUAACGCGUGGGAAUCUGCCCUUGGGUUCGGAAUAACAGUGAGAAAUUGCUGCUAAUACCGGAUGAUGUCUUCGGACCAAAGAUUUAUCGCCCAGGGAUGAGCCCGCGUAGGAUUAGCUAGUUGGUGGGGUAAUGGCCUACCAAGGCGACGAUCCUUAGCUGGUCUGAGAGGAUGAUCAGCCACACUGGGACUGAGACACGGCCCAGACUCCUACGGGAGGCAGCAGUGGGGAAUAUUGGACAAUGGGCGCAAGCCUGAUCCAGCAAUGCCGCGUGAGUGAUGAAGGCCUUAGGGUUGUAAAGCUCCUUUACCCGGGAUGAUAAUGACAGUACCGGGAGAAUAAGCUCCGGCUAACUCCGUG